rnacentral:siRNA from 1 species
UGCCGAUGAUGCUAUGUC